AGCGAACGUUAGCGGCGGGCCUAACACAUGCAAGUCGAGCGAGAAAGGGGCUUCGGCCCCGAGUACAGCGGCGGACGGGUGAGGAACACGUAGGUAAUCUGCCCUUCGAUGGAGGACAACGGUCCGAAAGGACCGCUAAUACUGCAUACGUUCCUCGGGUCCUCGGGCCUGAGGAGGAAAGCCUCGCAAGGGGCGUCGGAGGGGGAGCCUGCGUCGCAUCAGCUAGUUGGUGGGGUAAUGGCCUACCAAGGCGAAGACGCGUAGCUGGUCUGAGAGGAUGAUCAGCCACACUGGGACUGAGACACGGCCCAGACUCCUACGGGAGGCAGCAGUGGGGAAUAUUGGACAAUGGGCGAAAGCCUGAUCCAGCCACGCCGCGUGAGUGAUGAAGGCCUUCGGGUCGUAAAGCUCUGUGGGGAGGGACGAAUUGCCGGGUGAAGAAUCCGGAGUGACGGUACCUCCUUAGCAAGCACCGGCUAACUCCGUGCCAGCAGCCGCAGUAAAAC
rnacentral:rRNA from 1 species